GUAAAGGAUGACGGACGUCCAGGCGAACCCGGGUGGCAGACUACAGCAGAGCGAAGUGGCCGCGGCGCAGCAAACAGGUAAGGGCAACAGGGUUACAGUCGACUUCUUCCCUUCAGGGCGUACGUCAUCGCGCGAAUAAAACACCGAAGCAAAGUCUCGAAUCGUCUCUUUUCUUUGAGAAGACAGAUAUUACAUUUUUCUCUUUCUCUCUCUCUUUCUACGGAGAGGAAGCGUACCGAUCGAUCUCGAACGGCACGUUCUGCAGACGAGAUGCGGCGACUCCAAGACGCGACUGCACUCGAGACGAUCGGAGAAAAGUUAGGCCCCCGCCAACGAAUAGCGAUCUGUCUUGUGAUAAUUCUGAGACGAGGUAAUACGACGAGGCGCAAUGAAAGAUCGACUCAGGAUUCUCGGGAAAGCUAUACCGACAACGUCUCACGGAUGUCAAAAGACUCCAAGCGCCGGCCAUCGUUGAGGGUUUUCCGCGUCAAUAUAAUUAGCUUUUAAUUCUAAUUGCUAAUUCGCACUAAAAUACUUGCAAUCAUGUUAAACUAUUUACCUGUUAAUAACUGUUUUAGAAAAUUGCGACAGGAAAAUUAUUUAACAAUAGAUCCAAUGAAAUUUUAUCACUGUAUAAAACUUGUCAUGCUAAAUAUUUUGGGAUUCUUACAUAGAAAAAAAUGGUUGGCCGA